GGGGCUGACCUUGAGAACGCAGGGGCGCAGGCGCACAGUACCUUGGAAUCUCAGUUAAAAAUGCAUGCUGUCCAAGCACCUUCCUCUCUUAGGUCAAUGGAAUGUGACCUUUAGAAGUUCUUUGCUCUUCACAGACGCCAGCUCAAGCCAGAGGAUAUCUACAAAGAGCAGAGGAGCUAAGAAGAAAAUUCAGUAUGGACAUUUCCUACCUACUUAAUACCAAUAUGAACAAAAAGGGCCUUACAACAUUCUCAUAUACAUACAUACAUACAUACAUAAAUACACACACAUUUAUGCUUUAUGACACCUCCCUCCUUCCAAAUCUGUACCAGUGAACUUGCCUUUAUAUUGUGAUGAGGGUUAACCAUAGAGGUAAGUUUGAAAUAAGGACACAGAGCAUCUUUGACCCAGAAAUUAUCACACAGUUUAACGAUCCUUAUGGAAACAUGCUUAUCUCACCCUUCUCUGUGAGAUACCUUUUACCAUAAUGUGGUUCUCUUGUGGAGUCAGAACUGGGGAGGAAAUUCAUCUUCAGCAGUCAUGGUUGCACAAACUUGCAACUAUGAAACAGCUAUGAUGUUCAACCUCUAACUGGCCCAAGGACCCUGGGAAACAAUCCUGAGCUACCUAGAGAUGUUAGAUUGGUGCUGUUUCAAAAGGAUACAGAAACAAAGUUUAUACAUUAUGUUAAUUUUUAAUGGUGGGGGGAGAUAGGGUGACAGGUGAUAGAGAAAUUAUAAGAAAUGAGAGAAGCUACUCCGAGACCAAUAGCCUUGAGGAAUAGUUUGUGAAACUGAGAACUUCCCCAAGGGUUCUGUUACUGCUUUAUAGAAGCAAGCCUGUUAAUAGACAGGCCCCAGGGCAACUGCAGUAUAGUAAAGAAGGACUCUGGUUGACUGCUCCUGUAUCUGGGGGAAGCCAUUGCUAUCCUUGAGAAAGAAAAGGUGGAGGUGGAGAGUGGCUAUCAGCCUGUCAGUGACAUCACAUUCUGUGAAGUCUUGUCUUUCACUUGUGACACAGUGGGUCUUCCAUCUGUCCUAAACCUGGCAGCCUUGUUAAGGAUCAGAAAACAUCUUCUCCUAUAUGACAGUAGGAUAGGAAUUAUUAGCAGGAUAGAAUCCAUUCCUGCCAGAGGAAAAACAAGAAAUCAGUUUUUACUACCUUAUUACUUUCAAUAGACUGUCAGAUUCUAUAUUCUCUAUUUUGUACAUGGCGCAUUGAUUAACAAUCCUUGGUUAAAAUACUUUAGUUUCACGUAGUGUGUAUAUAUGUUUACAUUUACAGCUGUAUCAAGUCUUUUUGUCCUAUUAAAAAACAAUAUAUUCUACUAAUUACCUGGUUUUUUUUUUAUUGACCACUUUCUAUUUCUUAAAUGUAUAGAAGUCUUUGACAAAGAUUCAGAGAAAGAAUUAUGAAAAGGAAAGAGAGGAAAUGUGAUGAUGAAGAUGAAAAGAUCUUUUUGGCAAAUUAGUUAUGAUCACAGUCUUUGAUAAAAGUCAUGGCUGCUUACCAUGUGAGGUUUGUGAUAAUUUAAAAUGUCCUCUCUACGAACUGAUCUCAGAUGUGUAUAAAUAUCAACAGAAUAGUAUUUACAUGAGCACUCUGGCCUGAAACUCUUCCAAUUUUAAAAAUCAAAUUUUAAAAGUCUUAAACCGUCUUAACAAAAUGUGUUAAUAGUUUUACCUCUAAAAAAAAAAUUCAAACACUUUUCUCUUUCCUUUACUGAAUAUGAUAUGUUUUAUUCUGUGAUUUCUAUUUCUUGUAAAUUGUAAUUAGUCUGUAACUAUGUGGAAAGUUGGGUUUUGUUUCCUUAGGUAAAUUGUACUUAAAAUUCUUUAUUGGCCAUCUUAGAAAAAUCAUGUACCAGUAACAAUGAUUUAUUGGUCAUGUUCUGCCAUAUAUGGUUAGUGGAACAUUUUGCAAUUGUUCUAAAAAGCCACUAGAGGAAAAUGGUUGCCUUCUAAGUAGGAUCAGAGGAUGGGACCUUUGUGGUGUGCUGAGUGUCCUUGUCAGAGAGAGAAGAACUUGCUUCCUCGUUGUUUAUUCUGCACCAUGUGAGAACUUAGUCACAACUCAUUUGCCAACAACAAAGGGGUCCAUUUUCACCCCCACCAGUGAUACAUAUGGGAACUAAUUUUGUGGUUUAAAUCACUCAGUUUAUGGUACUUUUGUUAUAGUAUCCAAAGUAAAGAAUGCAAAAUUGUGUUCAGUGUAAUUGCUUUGACGUGAAUAAAAAGCCCUACACUCACAGAGAAAGAUAAUUGAAAAUGUAUCCAUUACCACUCAGCAUUCGUUUUCUAAACUGUUCUAUUUGAAACAAUUAUUUAAAAAAUUGUCCAUCAAUAAAGCUUCUUAAAGCCU
ensembl:antisense A230107N01Rik RIKEN cDNA A230107N01 gene